UACGUAGGGGGCAAGCGUUGUCCGGAUUUAUUGGGCGUAAAGAGCGUGUAGGCGGCCAGGUAGGUCAGCUGUGAAAACUCGAGGCUCAACCUUGAGCUGUCGGCUGAAACCAUCUGGCUAGAGUCCGGGAGAGGAGAGUGGAAUUCCUGGUGUAGCGGUGAAAUGCGCAGAUAUCAGGAGGAACACCGGUGGCGAAGGCGGAUCUCUGGGCCUUACCUGACGCUCAGGCGCGAAAGCUAGGGGAGCGAACGGG
rnacentral:rRNA from 1 species